AAAGUUUCAAAUUGUACAUAAAAAAACUAUCAACUCAUUUUUUCGGGUAAGUGGCCAGCCCUAUACAAAACCGAAUUGAACGUGGGUGAUUAUCUGUUCGUGAAAAAAAAAAAACAAAAAUGUAACCAAAUGUACUCGUGAAUCGACUCACAUUACUAAGGACGCCACAUCAGCAUAAUAUUAUAUUAUCAUAGUGAAAUUACAUUCAGAAAAAUCAAUUUUAUGUUGCUUGCUUUUUAAAUAUUAUAAAUGAAUUGAUUUAUCUACCUGUUGUCAAAACAAUUGAAAGUAUAGGACAUAUUAUCUGAUAAUGCAUUUCUGAUUUUAUUAUAGCCUAUUGCUGGUUCAAUAUUCACGUGACUGUUUUAUCUACUUUGAGUGUAACUUAAAUAUCAUAUACAUAUGCAUAUUGCAUACAUUUACGUAAUAUCACAAACACAUAAAUUUACUUUACAUAAUAGACGAAAAAUGUCGUCUAUAAAAACAUUCACUCAGAUCAGAAAAUUUCUGUAUUAAAGCUGCUGUAUACAACAAUAAUAAUAUUAUAAUUUAUAAUAAAAUCACAAUAUCUAACCUAAACGGCUUAUUACGGUUCUUUGUGAUACUUUACUCUUGAAAGUUGCAACGAUAAAAAUAUAUUAUGAUUGCAAUACUACAAGACGUAUAGUAGUGCAACUUCAACGCUCUCAAAUACGACGAAAUAACGCUUAUCAUAGAAAGUUCAAUCUCUUUGCAGCUUUAUACAGAUAUAUGAUGGACAAGACAUCGAAACAAUAGUUUAAUUCAAAUGGAAAUUAAUACUCAUCCUCCACCCACACUGAACAAGUAAAUUCACUCAAGUAUUAAAGCUAACUGCAUAAAAUCGAUCCCGCUGAACGAAAAUUUGCUAUAUGUUGUACGCGCAUGUAAAACCACGGAGACAAUAACACAUGCCGGUGUGGCGUCCUCUUAACAUCACUGUCGUAAAUUGUGUAUAUACGAUGACAUGCGUGUGCAUAAAUAAUAUCAAUCGAUGUGUACGACUGUGAUAGCAACUUGUUUAUAAACGUCUGGUGGCUGCUACAGAUUUUGGACCACACUUUAGCGUCCGAAAACAUUCAUCCCGACGAUCCGACGAAUCAUUUGAUCGAGAAUUUGACAGUAAUAAAUACUCUACAUUAUAAGUAAUAAGACAACUUCAGCAAUGGUUAUCGGUUUGUUCAGUGAUAAUAAUGGCUACAUAGCAGUGUCAAAAAUAUGCCGUAACCUAAAACUAUUUAAUCCAGGAUUUAUUUCAAAGAUUGAUAUCUCACUUCAAGGCCAUAAUUGGAAAAAUGUGAGAUACGUUAUUCAAGACACGCUUAUGGUUGGAGAUAACACAACAGCCCAAUUACAAAAUAUGUUAUAAACACCGACUCACAGCUGCAACCCAAACGAACCGGUUGCCCACCGCCGAUUUCCUAUAUUGGAAAACAUGCCCAAUUUCCACUCGGCGAGAGCGCCGCGCGCCGAGUCAUCUAAUCGAGUUAUGCAAAUGCGGACGCGUAUGCACACAGGACACGGCGUUCCCACAGUCCGAGUGGCGGGGCGUGUGUCUUAUACAAUACCGAUCUGAACCAACGAAUUUAUUGAUAAGUUUUCAUUGAUUCCUUGUUAUCCGUUCAUAUUUUUAUAUAGGUACUAACCAAAUCUAUACAGGAGUAUGACAUACUGUUUUGAUAAGUGCAAUUAAUUCGAUAGUCCAUGGUUUCAAGAGUAUUCACACUACAACCAACAAAUCAUAAUAGAUAUCAGUACAUGUAUAUGUCUACUGUCUAGUUAUUGACUAAUUCACCACGACAGUACUAGGAUACGGUAACCAAGUUUCGACAGUUGUAUACGAAUUAAUAACACGUCUGUGUAAGGACUAAGGACUAUCGACUGCGUUUAAGGAGUAUGUAUAUUAUAAUUAUAGUUCGGGGAAAUGUUGCAUGCGGAUAUUCCCCUUCACCAAACCACCGAGUGAUCAACAGUGCGACAUAUACCUACAUUUUUUUUUUAAUAUCACCUUUAAAUACAAGCUAUGACCCAAUUCACAUGGUUUAGACUUAUUCAGAGUAACAUUUUUUGCCGAUGCUCAGCCUCGAAGUCAGCGAAUCCAUUGCAGAUGAUUGUAUACUUAUCAAUUCGAAGUGCCUCGAAAAUAUCAUUUAAUUGAUCAUAUGUUGUACUAAUAUAGCCAAUGACGCCUAAAGCCCAAUAUAAGUGCCAUAAGUACGCCGUUACUUGUGCGAUCACGCACGUAAUGUAUGAACGAAUACAGGCAUUGUGUUCACAGCGGGGUCCAGACAAUUUCAUUCAACAACUGCAGCAACAGAUUAAGGAAUAUUUAUAUUUACCAUAUGCGUAUGUGUCAUGCGUGUGUGUGCGUACAACGCAAAUUUAAGUUUUUGUAUGGAACCGGAAGAAAUGAUUAUUUAUUUAUUGAAUUAAGUAUACAAGUACCAUAAAAAAAAUAUCGAUGGAACUUUUGCGGCCAACGACUGUAGCAGUGCGUAAGUACGACUGGCUCCUAUAUUAUUUAAUAAUAAUUAUCAUUUAUCACGCAUCGUCGUAACCAAUAAAUUAAUAGGUACCUAUUAUAUACAAAUAACAAAUGUACGCGCACACAUUAAUAUUAUAUUGUUUUCAGACUAUACACUACGGUUGAGCCGGGUAAACACCUUAAACAUAGAGUAUUAAAUGUAUAAUAUUAUGCGAUAUUAUAUUGUUGUAUUGCGUCCGUUCGGCGCGCGCGCUAGUAAUAAUAUAAAUAAUAAUGACGGUUUCCACGAAAUAACCGUCGUUAAAUCUAUGUGGCAGGACGGUGUUGUACGACAUAGUAAUACGUACCUAUGUGUUUUAUCGUUAUUAUUAUGUCGCCCUACGCCUGUCGGUGACGUUGCGGCUAGACGUUUCCGCCUCGAAACGGACGACACGUUUUUACGAUCGCGAUUUCCGCAUUUCGAUCGCACCGGUAUGUUCUAUUAGAAAUAUCAUAACGAUUUUUUACGGGCUGUGUAGCGAUCGUCCGUUGUCCAUUUUACGAUCGACGAAAAAUAACGCGCCGUAAACGACCGCACCUAUGUACCAACACGAGUGAACGCGGUCGAUCACAAUAUUUACAAUUUUCUUUCGUAUCAGCAUAGGUAUUGGCGGCUACAAAGGAGAGAAAAAAAGGGAAACGCCGCGUACCUUUCGCUGCAAACCCGUAAUAUAAUAUACCGCAAUAACGUAUAUUAUAAUACGCAGGUACUCGGAAGAGUUUUUGAAAAUCGAACGCUGUUGCAGUUCCGCCGCCGCGACACCGUCAACACGGAAACCGCGCUGUACCACAUGUGACCCUCCUGCGGGUGUAACAACCCCCGAAAUUCUCGUUUAUGUAUUUUAAUAUACUUUCCCCCUUAUACCCACGUCGCUCGCACGUAUAACGGUACCCAUAUCCGUGAGAUAGUUAUCGACCCGGCCGCGAUGAAUCUCUGCAGCAAACGCGUCCCUCUCACGCAUACCGCGCAGUGUACCUGUUGCUCGACGCCACCACCUGUUGCAUAUAGAGCGCAACAACAAUAUACCUGUUGAUCAUCACACACACAUAUUAUAUGUAUAAUAUUACCAUGUGGCAAACAAUAUAUAGUAAUGCACCUACCUUCAGUGUGUGUAAUGUGUAUCGUAUAUAUAUAUAUACAGCGGAGAACAGUAUAGAAAAAAAGCGAAGACCGCAACACCCUUCGCUUUCACGGGACGUGAGUACAAAAAAUAAAGUACAAACAACCGUUUUCCGUUUCCCUUUCGGUAUAUACAUGCGCGCAUCGCUCGGGCUGUGCGGGCUGCUGCGGAACCGUCUCAUCCUCCGUCGUCUCGGCCGUCGCGGACCUUGCUGCAGGUGCGUGUGCGGUAAUAACGUCGACGACGACCCGCGGGUCGUGGACGGGACCUAUCCGCUUUAUAUUUAUUUGUUUAUAUUUUUUUUCGGGAUGCCAACUGUUAUUUUAUUAUGUUUUUUACGUACCAAAAUAAUAAUACAUAUUAUAAUAUACGGCAGUUGUGUGUACACCUAACGGAACUCGGGUUCUUAUAGCUAUAUGAUGCCUGUAUUGUAUAUUAUAAUAUACAGUUAGGUGUACUUACCUGACGACUAGCACAGAUUUCUUACAUGUUUAUGUUUAUAUAUAGAACGCUGCAUUAUGUAUACUCGCGACUAAUGUGUGUGUGCGCAGACCCUGCACGACCGUGGCCGAGACGAUAUUGUAAAUUAUGAUAAACGCACAGUUCGAUUUUUUUUUGUUCUCGUUCGUUUGAAAGGGACAUUGAAAGAAAGAAAAAACGACGGAUAAACUUUGUUUCAUUAUCGUUGUCAUUAUAAUACGUACGCGAACCAUAAAAAUAAGCAUAAUGUAUAUGUUUUCGGAAUAUACGUAUACCUAUAUGUAUAUACGUAUAGUAUAAUCAUGGGCUGCAGGUACAAGGCGAUUCUUCUAAAGAUAGGUUAUUUUCUCAUAAUAUAAUAUAUAAUAUACAUGCUAAAAAUAUAUUUUUUUUUUAAACUACUUGUACUCAUUAUAAAGUAACGUUUUUAAGAUGAAAUUAUGUAUUUUAAUCGUCUUUUAAGUUUUAUUCUUCUAUUUUGAAGAAAAGCUAGCUUAUUUUAAUUCAAUAUGAAGUAGAAUACUUUUUUGAGAAUCUCAAUGUAUUGACAUCUCAUUUUUAAGUGUUUAAGUUUAGAGGAGCGUACUGUUUCGGAAUAUGAACAUAAAAAUGUUUGUUUUUCCAAAAAAAAAUUAAAAUUAAAAAACGAUAAUAACUGUAAAUUUUUUCUAAUGUUAUUUAAUUUGUCUUGAAAUAUCUUCAAAUUACAAAUCGUUCCGUAAACAUUAAGCAAACGUUUUCAAAACAAUGAUUGUUUUCCUUUAAAAAAUCAUCUUGCAUGAUAUCAUAAUGUACAACACACAUACAUGUGUGCGUGCGGCGUGACCAUACAGGUAUAGUUUUCCGAAGCAAUUGCGUUGCCAGUUGUGGGUUUUCUGUUGGAAACCUGUUCGUCGUAUAGACGUAUAGUAUAGUAUUAUAUAAGUAACGAGUAUACACUAUAUCUUCACUAAGUCCAAACGUGUUGAGAAAAAAAAACCACUGAGUUACGUUUUCAACAACACUUCGGGGAGAUUAUUUUGACCAAUAAAUCAAAUCGGAUUUAUUACAAUCGUACCGUUCAACGUUAUAUAUAUAUUAUAAACGAUAUAUCGUAUACCUAUUACUGUAUAUAUAUCUACCUAUAUCAUUAUAUAUUAUCAGCGAACACAAGUCGAACGCGCGCGGCUUUUAGAUUAUGCGUUAAUAUUUUAUUUUCGUCCUAUGCGUUAAAAUAUGUUUAUAUUGUGUGUACACAAGAAGAAAAUCAAAUGCAUUAUUCAUAAACAGAGUUCAACAUAUUAUUAUACAUGAUAUCGGUACACCGUCGACUUCCAACACCUAUUAUAUGGCGAAUUAUUAUACAAACGCCUAUAAUAUUAUGUAUAUAUAGGGACACGAAAAAAUUCCACGAGCGCAAUUUUUUUCCUACACAUUUCGUCGCUACAUAGCUCAUAUUAUAUGCUGCAAUUCCUGCAAGCAGGUACACACAGUGAUCUCUUGCAUUGAACUCGGCCGCAGGAUCGUGAUCGAAAACGUAAAGUAUAAUCGUGUCGUACAGGGCUUGAACUAUAUCCGUUUCGGUGCUUUUUUCCGAGUUCGGCAUACCACCUCACGUAUCCUAUAUAUAUAUACAGUAUACAUACAUAAUUUAUACCGACAAACUUUCACUCAUCGGAUGGUAAAAUAAAUACCUCAGCCGGGAGUGUUUAAAAAUACCCCAUAUAGCUCUUAUUCACGCCGGGAAAUAUAUUCCAACAGGAAAUCGUUAAUGUGCAUUGAAAUUAUGCGUUUCUGGUGUAAAAAAAAACGUGACACUUUGACACAGCGCGGCGGGUUAUAUGCGUUGUUGCAUAAACAUUACUCCCUGUUAAAAACGUAUGUACGAAUAUCAAUAUUCUCAUUUACAUAAUAUAAUACAUACUGGAUGAUUCACCAAGUACGCUCACCCCUUUUUCUUUUUAACGUGUAGUUCUUCGAAAACUGAUUUUUAAAUUUUUAUAAAAAUGCUUUAAGACCGUAUUUUUAAAUCCUUGAGAUUUUUUUUAAUUGUUACUUGAAAGAGAAGCCUUGGAUAUACCGUGAUCUGCUACAGUUUUACAUAAGUUCCCCCUUACUUACUGUAAAUUAUUUAGUAAUUUUUUUGAAAAUACUCAAAAUUCGAACGAAUAUUUAGUUCUCUAACUUUGUAUAACAAAGUAUGUAAGGUCUAUAAUUGGAUUUGAAAGACAUAAGGCCUAUAUUCCUAAUGAUGAUGAUUUGAACAUUUUAGUAAAAUUAUAAUUUUAAAAA